rnacentral:rRNA from 1 species
AGAGUUUGAUCCUGGCUCAGAUUGAACGCUGGCGGAAUGCUUUACACAUGCAAGUCGAGCGGCAGCGCGGGGCAACCUGGCGGCGAGCGGCGAACGGGUGAGUAAUAUAUCGGAACGUACCCUGUCGUGGGGGAUAACACAUCGAAAGAUGUGCUAAUACCGCAUACGACCUGAGGGUGAAAGCGGGGGAUCGCAAGACCUCGCGCGAUAGGAGCGGCCGAUAUCGGAUUAGCUAGUUGGUGAGGUAAAGGCUCACCAAGGCGACGAUCCGUAGCUGGUCUGAGAGGACGACCAGCCACACUGGAACUGAGACACGGUCCAGACUCCUACGGGAGGCAGCAGUGGGGAAUUUUGGACAAUGGGGGAAACCCUGAUCCAGCCAUUCCGCGUGAGUGAAGAAGGCCUUCGGGUUGUAAAGCUCUUUCGGCAGGAACGAAACGGUAAGGGCUAAUAUCCUUUGCUAAUGACGGUACCUGAAGAAGAAGCACCGGCUAACUACGUGCCAGCAGCCGCGGUAAUACGUAGGGUGCGAGCGUUAAUCGGAAUUACUGGGCGUAAAGCGUGCGCAGGCGGUUUUGUAAGACAGAUGUGAAAUCCCCGGGCUUAACCUGGGAACUGCGUUUGUGACUGCAAGACUAGAGUGCGGCAGAGGGGGGUGGAAUUCCACGUGUAGCAGUGAAAUGCGUAGAGAUGUGGAGGAACACCGAUGGCGAAGGCAGCCCCCUGGGUCGACACUGACGCUCAUGCACGAAAGCGUGGGUAGCAAACAGGAUUAGAUACCCUGGUAGUCCACGCCCUAAACGAUGCCAACUAGGUGUUGGGGAAGGAGACUUCCUUAGUACCGUAGCUAACGCGUGAAGUUGGCCGCCUGGGGAGUACGGUCGCAAGAUUAAAACUCAAAUGAAUUGACGG